CCCGCCGGCGAUCGCAAAAUCAGCACCGCCGUCCGACUCGAAGGUUUGGACAAGAUUGAGGUGUGACCAAGAACAAUGAAGAUCGGCAAACAAAAUGGGAAGGAAACCCACAAGUGACUUCCAAAGACUGUCGGAAAAAUAAAUCUGCAGUGUAUUAAUUUGAUGUGUUUAUUUCCCUGUCCCUAGAUGUACUUUUUGAGUUAUUCAAAGCUGUUGCCGAUAAUUACAUUUUUUAAAAACAAAUGUGAUGAUGUCCUUU